AGCUUUCUGAGUCGGUGCCGAGAUUUCGUUAGCCAUCAACCUACUAGGACUAGUGAGACAUCCAAGAUAAGUGAAGUG
rfam:Schistosoma haematobium scaffold642_20, whole genome shotgun sequence.